GCCUGGGUGGCUCAGUUGGUUAAGCAUCUGACUUUGGCUCAGGUCAUGAUCUCAUGGUUCAUGGGUUUGACCCUUGCCUCAGGCU
rnacentral:tRNA from 1 species